rnacentral:lncRNA from 1 species
ACACGUUCCAAGAUCACAUACGUAAAAAAUCGUAAAAAACAAACAUUCAGAGAUUACGUAAUGGAAUAAAAGUUUUCGACGGUUAUAAACGAAAAAUCACAAUUUAACGGUUAUUUUAUCUCUGAUUUUGAUGAUUUUUUACAGAUACACUCUUCGAACCUAUAAGAAUGUAAUGAAUAAAUUUGAUCUUUAAUUUAAAGUAUUUACACUAGUGGAUACCACAAAAACUUAUUUUAUACUUAAUAGAAAGUAUAAUAUUAACUCUAAGUGUUUGUUUAAUGUACUGUUUUGACACAAUAUGCAUUCUACAAAACUUUUUUCUACGAUCCAACCGUCAAACUUAUUUGUACACAUUUCGAGAUCGCAUACGUAAAAAAUCAUAAAAAACAAACAUUCAGAAAUUACGUAACGGUACAAAAGUUUUCGACGGUUAUAAACG